AGUUCGAUCCUGCCUGUGAUUGAACGCUGGCGGGAUGCUUUACACAUGCAAGUCGAACGGCAGCACGGACUUCGGUCUGUGGCGAAGGGCGAACGGGUGAGUAAUGUAUCGGAACGUGCCUAGUAGCGGGGGAUAACUACGCGAAAGCGUAUUAAUACCGCAUACGUUCUUCGGGGGAAAGCGGGGGGACCUUCGGGCCUCGCACUAUUAGAGCGGCCGGAUAUCGGAUUAGCCAGUUGCGGUAACGGCUCACCACAAGCGGACGAUCCGUAGCUGGUUGGAGGACGACCAGCCACACUGGGACCGAGACACGGCCCAGACUCCUACGGGAGGCAGCAGUGGGGAAUUUUGGACAAUGGGGGAAACCUUGAUCCAGCUAUCCCGCGUGUGAUGAAGGCCUUCGGGUUGUAAAGCACUUCAAGGAAGAAACGGCACGGAUACACUCCCGUGCAACUGACGGUAAUUUUGUGGCGAAUUAAGCACCGGCUAACUACGUGCCAGCAGCCGCGGUAAUACGUAGGUGCAAGCGGCACCGGAAUUACCGGCGUAAAGCGUGCGCAGGCGGUUCGGAAAGAAAGAUGUGAAAUCCCAGAGGCUUAACUUUGGGAACUGCAUUUUUAACUACCGAGCUAGAGGGUGAGUCAGAGGAGGUGGAAUUCGCGUGUAGCAGUGAAAUGCGUAGAUAUGGAGGAACACUGAUGGCGAAGGCAGCCUCCUGGGAUAAUACUGACGCUCAUGCACGAAAGCGUGGAGCAAACAGGAUUAGAUAACGGUAGUCCACGCCCUAAACGAUGUCAACUAGCUGUUGGGGCCUGGCCUUGUAGCGCAGCUUAAUCGCGGUGAAGUUGACCGCCUGGGGAGUACGGUCGCAAGAUUAAACUCAAAGGAAUUGACGGGACCCGCACAAGCGGUGGAUGAUGUGGAUUACCUGAUGCAACGCGAAAACCCACUCACCCUUGACAUGUUUGGAAUCCUGAAGAGAUUUGGGAGUGCCUAAAGAGGAACUAACACAGGUGCUGCAUGGCUGUGCCGUCGUACUGUGUCAGAGAUGUUGGGUUAAUCCUGCAACGAGCGCAACCUGUCAUUAGUUGCUACGAAAGGGCACUCUAAUGAGACUGCCGGUGACAAACCGGAGGAAGGUGGGAUGACGCCAAGUCCCCAUGGCCCUUAUGGGUAGGGUCACACGCCAAUGGUCGGGACAGAGGGUCGCCAACCCGCGAGGGGGAGCCAAUCCCAGAAACCCGAUCGGAACUGAUCGCAGUCUGCAACUCGACUGCGUGAAGUUUGGAAUCGCUAGUAAUCGCGAUCACAUGUCGCGGUGAAUACGUUCCCGGGUCUUGUACACACCGCCCGUCACACCAUGGGAGUGGGUUUUACCAGAAGCAGUUGGGCCUAACUGCAAGGAGGGCGAUUACCACGGUAGGAUUCAUGAUCAGUGAAGUCGUAACAAGGUAA
rnacentral:rRNA from 1 species